CAAUAGCGUAUAUUAAAGUUGUUGCAGUUAAAAAGCUCGUAGUUGGAUUUGUGGCGUACGGUGUGUUCCGGGCACUUGUUGUCUGAGUAACCUGCUGUUGCCAUCCUUGGGUGGAACCUGUGUGGCAUUAGGUUGUCGUGCAGGGGAUGCCCAUCAUUUACUGUGAAAAAAAUAGAGUGUUCAAAGCAGGCUUAUGCCGUUGAAUAUAUUAGCAUGGAAUAAUGAGAUAGGACUUUUUUGCUAUUUUGUUGGUUUGCGCAAAGAGGUAAUGAUUAAUAGGGACAGUUGGGGGUAUUCGUAUUCCAUUGUCAGAGGUGAAAUUCUUGGAUUUUUGGAAGACGAACUACUGCGAAAGCAUUUACCAAGGAUGUUUUCAUUAA
rnacentral:rRNA from 1 species